CUGGGCCUACGGGAGGCAGCAGUAGGGAAUCUUCCACAAUGGGCGAAAGCCUGAUGGAGCAACGCCGCGUGGGUGAAGAAGGUCUUCGGAUCGUAAAACCCUGUUGUUAGAGAAGAAAGUGCGUGAGAGUAACUGUUUACGUUUCGACGGUAUCUAACCAGAAAGCCACGGCUAACUACGUGCCAGCAGCCGCGGUAAUACGUAGGUGGCAAGCGUUAUCCGGAUUUAUUGGGCGUAAAGGGACCGCAGGCGGUCUUUUAAGUUUGAUGUGAAAGCCUUCCGCUUAACCGGAGUAGUGCAUUGGA
rnacentral:rRNA from 1 species